GUAGUAAAGAAAAAACAAAUGUCUCUUUUUCUAAGUUUGCUUGUUAUGCUUCUAUGUCUCUCCUUUCAUGUCCCAACCACGGAGGCUAGACUCCGUCACGUAGUUCGCAUUCCCGUUUCUGCUUCGGUAUCUACUCCGCCCUCUAAAGAUUGUGGAAGUGGUAUUUAUAAUGUUAAUGUAGCUACAGAAGCGCCUUGUAGACGCCCUACAAGACCGCCUGGUGCAAAUCAUUGAUCUUUUAUGCAUAUUGGAGAAGACAAAUUACGAAUCAUAAUAUGUCCCAUGGAUUAUAUUUUCUUCACAAAGGAGAAGGAUUGCCACAUCCAGGGCCGGCCCUACCCUAAGGCAAGACAUAAUUGAAGUUGUUGUUAGUCUAAUGGUUUUACCAUUUUUGUUCACACAAAU